CCUUUCCUGGGAAAGGUGGCACCCUGAGUCAAUGGAAGGACCAGGCCAUCCCUCUUGGCUCUGCUGCUGCCACCCCUCCCAGCAUGGAGGAAAUCCUACCUCGCCGACAUGGAGCAGCUACGAGCAUCCUGCUCUGAGUCCAGCUUGAAGCCCA